GGGAAAUUUGGAUGUCUUCAGCUAAAAUCAGCUAAUAGCUGAAUAUUACUUAGGGUACAAACAACAUAAUUGAGCUGUGGCCAAUUUCAAUACCAAGGCUGAUUUGAUUUGGUAAUGAACCCAAUUCCAUUCUGUUUCCAUGUUGCUGAAUAUACUGAUUUUGAUGCAACAGUGAGCAUGUCAUCAUCCGGAGAAGAGCAAUUUCAUCCGAAGCUCGCUGAAAAGGAAUCGAUUCUACAGCCUUGCAUGCCAGGUUUCAUCGAUCGGAACUGGAAACGUAGAAACCAAAGCAAUGCCGUCCAAGAGUUUCGCGCAGGACUUCUAAGAAGCAGAGUUGCACAUAAAUAAAUAGUACCAACAAGAAUGUACACCCAACGCAUAAAGCCAUAAGCUGAAUAACAGCAAGAAGUAUAUUUAUUCAUUAAAAACGCUAACACAGGCAGGUAUAGGAAGAACAAGCUGCAGCGUGCAAAAACGCAGGCAGCGGAUCGCAGCGCCUGGCAGCAGCAGCAGCAGCAGCGAACGAGCUCAACUUAUCUGAUCAAUCCGUUUCAAUUGAUGGAAGGGAAACUAAACUAGUGUUGCAUCGAGAACGAACAUCAACAAAGCAGUUUUGACCUCUUUGAUUACGACCAACCGACAACAGGUCGACUCGGUAACUCCCUUAGCCUCAACUCGACUCGAAUGAUGAACUUGAUAGUAACUCGAAUGAUGAACUUGAUAGUAACUCGAAUGAUGAACUUGAUAGUAACAGAUACCUCUAGAGAGGGAGAGGGGGGGGGGGACGAAAGGGUCGAUGCACGGAUCUAUCUACUUGGUCGGCGGCGGCGGCGGGGCCCCGCCCAGAAGCGUCUGCUGCUGCAGCUCGAGGUCGUUGAGCUGCUGCUCCCGGUCCAUCUCGAUGAUCAGCGGCACCACCAGCACCAGGAAGGUUGUCCCCGCGAUCCACGCCGCCUUCCCCGUGCUCCGCAGCAGCUUCUUCGCCACGGCCGCCGCCUCUCGCCCGUGCGCCGCCACCUGCGAACGGGAGAGGGCGGCCAGGAUGCCGUCCCCGCCGUCGCCGCCGCGCUUGCUGAGAGCCGAAGGCGUCGGCAUUCUAGAGAGAGAGAUCUAGGGUUUAGUGGGAGGCACGGCGGAAAGGGGAACGAAAGAACCCGGCGUCGUGGGGGGAUUGCUACUUG
rnacentral:misc_RNA from 1 species